CGAAGGUUUUUUUAAUGCAACAAGAAAAGCUUUAUAUGUGUGUAAACCAAACUUUAUGAAGUUCGAAAUGAACGAAAACCGACAUUACAAUAUCAUGUACUUGUCACAUGAUAUAUAUGAUGCUAUUCAAUAUAAUGUCCGUUUUUUUUUUCGCAUUAUUGAAAUCCGAGAGACUGCAAGAAUUGCGUCAAUCGUAAUGCUUCGAGAAUCAUCGAUGUAACUUUCGAGGUCUUUUUUUUUUAAUUAGAGUCUUUAAAGAGAAACGCAUUUGUGUUACGCUUCACUUCGCAAAGCGCAAAAAAUAAACAUGAUUAACGGCUUGGACUUGACAACAACAUGUAAAGAAAAAAAAUUCCACGCGCCAAAACACGCUGCAACGAUGGAUAUCGCUUUGCGAGGUCAGGAUUACACGUGUCGGAAUUCGUCGAGAUAAUUAAAUAAAGAGCCGAUGCGUGCGAGGAGCGAAGCAUUCGAAGAUGGACGCUUCUUUGUCUCUCGUCUUUUCGUACAUGCAUCUGGGCUUUCUUUAUUCUUGGCAAAUAUACUAUUUCCGAGCGUAUAUUUACGGUCGCCGAGAGACGGUUCCCGUUAUUUAGCUAUCCGUUGAUCCGAAAAAAGAUUUCGCUGCGUAUCCUUGGCAGUUGUCAGAUUAACAUCGUUUACUUAUUAAGUCAAUGUCAGUUGCAAUAGUUCACAAUACGCUUCUGCGAGUAUUGAUGGAUAAUCUAAAAUUGAGAAAAUCGCGUCAAACGUUAAGAAACUGCGUCAAUUCUGAUAGCAGAGAUAAUAGAAAUAUUGAGCGAAUAAUACAGGUUGUCCACCCACACAAAUUUUGAAAAAAAAAUUCCUUAAUCUUCCACAUUUUUUUUGUUCAAAGUUCUAGGUAAAAAGAAUUUUUUUAGAUAUUUUUUUGGAUGCAAUUUUCUAAAAUAGGUUUUUUUCUUUGUGUACAUUUUCUCUUUCUUCACACACAUACAAAAGAAAAAUAAAGAGCCACUUAAGUUUCAAGUGCUAGAUUUGAAAAUGAAAAAACUGGAUAGUUUUCGUAAGAUAAACAUUCUUCACCUGCAUAAAUUAUUAAUUUUUUUAUCACUAAUAAUUACAACAAAAUUCACAACUUGGUCAAUCGGUGGAUUGCCGAUUGCUUAUAAUAUAAAAACAAAAUUAUCAGAGGGAAUCGUUUUUAAAAAAAAUUCUCUAAAUUCCAAUAGAAUUCUAUGAGACUUCCCUAAUUUUUGCAAAUACAAAAAAAUCUUUGAGAAUUCCAGGUUUUCCACGUUCUUUCAGGGAAUAAUAGACACUCUGAUAAUAUAUAAUUAAUAACAAAGAAUAUUAUAAACGAUAAUUUUUGUAAAACGAAUAAUAAUCAUUCGAACCUUUUUUUUACGAGGAGCAAAUAUUAAAUUCUUCAUUUACGAAUAUUAAAAUGUAAAAGCACGUACUCUCCAAAUGCAAUAUAAUGAUGAAGAUAAUAAAGUAAAAAAUUAUUGCUCUACAAGAGAAGCGAGAACAAGACCACAGAUGCAAGAAUACGUCUACGUUGCACUUUAGAAUAAGAUACUCGACUCAUCAUGGUAUUUCCACGUCAUAAAUAAUCGUCAGGUAAUUUCGCAAAUGCAAACUUUCGCGUUCCGAUCUGUUUGCGCCGGACUGUAGCGAACUAAUUUAUCCUCUAUCGGAGAUCUAUUAAUAUCGCCAAGAAAUAUCGGAAUUAAUUAAAUUCGCAAUUUACCCUAUCGGCGAUAAAAGAUACACAUACACACAUACGAAAGCUUAUAUCUCUUAAUAUAACAAAAUCUACAAGACAAAAUCUAUAUUAUGUUACUUGCCAAUAUUAUCAGAACAUUUUAUAGUGUGUAUUCUUAAUCAAUAUAAAAACCAAUAUAAUAUAAAUUUAAUAUAGUAAAACAUUAACUCUCUCAUAUAUGUAACUGAAUAUUAAUAAAUAAACAGAUAAAUCAAUAUCGAAGCUAUAACCGUGACGAAAGUGUAUGGAUGAUUUAUAAAUUAAUGAAUAAUAAUCGACAACAAAAACACACAUACACACGAAGAUUUAUAACCGACCGUUCGUUAUUUUUUUUUUUUCGUCUUGUUUUUACAGACGUCUGGUAAGCCCCCAAAAAGCAUGUAUAAUCGUGACUUUUCGAGGAAGAUCAGAAAAACAGCGUAUACUGCGUAUAUGAAUCUAGAUUCGUUCGUUGAAUUCAUUCGUUUUGUGUGCUAUCGGCGGUCGAUGUGACGCCGAGAGAAUCCUUGAGAAAUAGAGAGAGAAAGAGAAAGAAAUCGUCAUGCACAAGGUGGAUGACGAUGGCGCACAAAGAGAUAGCGAUAGAAUGACGCAAAACGAACGUAUAAGUGAGCGAACUUCCACGUUCCCUCCUCCCCUCAUUCCCCCUUCUGGCCCCCGAACACACCAACACACCAUUACUUUCCGUUUCCUCACGACACGUCACUGAUGCGCCGUGACAGCUGCUCACCACAGCUCAGAGCUGUCAAACUUGAACAAAAUUUAUAGAAAAUCAGCAGUGAGUCAAUCAGGUGACGAAUUAAUUGCCUGUGUUUUUCGCGGAAGAAAUGUUAACGGCGAACACAACAAAUGAUGAUAGGAAAUAACAAGCUUCUGGCAAAAUUACAUCGAGUACAUCGAGCAAAACGGAUAGACUAAUCAGUAAAAUAAUUUGUGUAAAAUUAAAGUAAAUUUGUUUAUAAAAAAAAAAAAAUGAAUGAAGGAGAUGAAUAAAAUUUUUCAUUACUUGGCUUGUCUUGAUAUUGCGCAAAUUCAGCAAAUUUGCGCGAAAGAUAAACCGAGUAGUGAGUCACUCGCUUAUUAUAUUUCUUGAAAAUAGAUAAUGACAAAAAAAGAUAAAGCGAAUAUAAUCCGCUUUAGUUGACCCGUUUCCGGAAUUAAUAAAAAGAUAAGUAGCAGGUUAUUAUUCUUUCGAUCUUUUUCCAGCGAGAAUGAUGGAAAAGAUAAGCGAGUCAACUAUUAGUUUUGGAGUUACUUUCAAAAACGACGAGAUAAGCAAGUGUUCGUAUAAUUUUUUUCCAACACACAAGAGGUAAAAAGAUAAGCGACUAACUCACCACUUGACGUAUUCGCCUCCAAUAUUUUUAUGACAUUCUAGUGGUUUUUUUCAGCGUAUUACAGUCGAUUAGAUUUUACGACUUUUUUGCGGUAACGCGUGAACGGAAUAUUAAUAACAAUGGAAUUUUAAUAACAGUAAACAAAAAUAUAUCUAGAUAUAAGAAAUAAAAUAAAUACGCGAAAUACAAUGGAAGUAGGAUUACGUCCGAUAUGAUUUUGUCUUUUAAUAUAAAAAAUAUAAAAUAUCUUUUUAAAAUAUAUGAUAAUAUGCGUUUUUAUCAUUGAAAUGCGCGCAAAAUUAAGCAAAUGACUCGUCGAAACGGAGAAAAAGAAGGAUCGCGAUAAACAUCUUUAUCUCGCGCCAUAUGAUCGACGUAAGUUGACUCAUCUAGAUACAUGCUGGUAACCGCAUCCAUCCCUAAGCUCGACAAAGGACCUACAAGGUAUCUGUUAUUUACAACUGUAAGUAGUCAAGGAAAAGAUCAAAUUUUGAGUUCAAAGAUUAUCGGAUAAGUUUCAAGCCUGAUUUCGGAUAACAAGGAAUAUAUUUACUCUGUCGAAUCUGAUUAUACAGCAAACCCGGACCAAAGGACAAAAGAAAUGAAAAGAAGAUGUUAUGCCUCCAGAACAUCGAAUAAACUUUUACGAAAAAAUCGCACAGCCAAUGAAACAGUUACGAGAAAAUCUGCGCUGCCGUAAAUAAAUUUAACGAACGCGUAAUUAAGGAUCUCCUAUGGAUUUAUCGAAUGACUCAAAGUCGAAUGAGAGAAAGAACCCGUGUCUUGCUGCAACAAAGGAGCGCCGCCGCCGAUCGGAGCUCUCCCCAUACAGCGUGUAUGCGCUGCACGGCCGUUUAAAGGUGCAUGUAUAGCGAUGCACUUCGCUGCGAGAGACAACCACACAAUCGUAUGGGCGAGGUUGAGAUGUAACAAGAACGAGUUUUUCAACCAGAUGUUUCGUCGGCAUUCUUCCAAUUCCCCGUUCGAAUAUUCACCGCGAACUUUAAGAAGAUCGUCGUCCCUCAUGAAAAUUAUCGUCGCGCGUAAAAUGUUAAUAAUUUUCAUUCACCAAGAUUGUUAGAUAUUCGAUUGUGUGUAUCUCUCCACUAAACUAAUAUUCUUUCAGACAAUCGAGGAAAUUUAACUUGAUUUUUUUAGGAAAAAUGUAUCAAGAUAUAAUCUUUUCUUUCGAUAUCAUGCAUCUGUCAGUUCGUAAUUUUUUUUUUUUUUUAACCAUACGCAAUCAGAGAAAGCGUCAAAAAUCAAAACUAUUAAGCUUUGAUAAAUUUAAGAAGAUCGUCGUUUUAUUGAAAUUAUCGUCGCGUAAAAAUUAUAAUUUUCACUCAUCAAAAUUGUUAGAUAUUUAAUUAUAUGCACCUCCCAACAAAACUAAUGUCCUUUCAAAUAGUCGAGGAAAUUGAACUUGAUUUUUCGAUAAAAAAAAAUAUAUCGAGAAAAGAAUGAAAUUUUUUUCUUUUGAUGAUUUAUCAAGAUUAUUAAUUAAAUAUUAGAUUAUAUAUAUCUCGAUGAAACGUUCUCUCAAACAAUCGAGAAAUUUGAACUUGAUUUUACAUUAAGAAAAAUAUAUCAACACGAGGAUAUAAUUUUUUCUUUCGAUAUCGUCGGUUCACAAUUUUUUUUUUUU